GACGAACGCUGGCGGCGUGCUUAACACAUGCAAGUCGAACGGUAAGGCCCUUCGGGGUACACGAGUGGCGAACGGGUGAGUAACACGUGGGUGAUCUGCCCUGCACUUCGGGAUAAGCCUGGGAAACUGGGUCUAAUACCGGAUAGGACCCUGGGAUGCAUGUCUAGGGGUGGAAAGCUUUUGCGGUGUGGGAUGGGCCCGCGGCCUAUCAGCUUGUUGGUGGGGUGAUGGACUACCAAGGGGACGACGGGUAGCCGGCCUGAGAGGGUGACCGGCCACACUGGGACUGAGAUACGGCCCAGACUCCUACGGGAGGCAGCAGUGGGGAAUAUUGCACAAUGGGCGCAAGCCUGAUGCAGCGACGCCGCGUGCGGGAUGACGGCCUUCGGGUUGUAAACCUCUUUCAGCACCGACGAAGCGCAAGUGACGGUAGGUGCAGAAGAAGGACCGGCCAACUACGUGCCAGCCGCCGCAGUAA
rnacentral:rRNA from 1 species